UCUCUUCACUUCCCUUACCCUUCAGACCUAAAUAUUGGUCUGAGUGGAUAAAAAUAGGACAAAAAGAAUAACUGAAAUGACUUGGGGUCUUUAGUGAAACCCAAAUUCAUUUCAAACAUGA
rnacentral:snoRNA from 1 species